rnacentral:rRNA from 1 species
GCUCAACCGGGGAGGGUCAUUGGAAACUGGGGAACUUGAGUGCAGAAGAGGAGAGUGGAAUUCCACGUGUAGCGGUGAAAUGCGUAGAGAUGUGGAGGAACACCAGUGGCGAAGGCGACUCUCUGGUCUGUAACUGACGCUGAGGCGCGAAAGCGUGGGGAGCGAACAGGAUUAGAUACCCUGGUAGUCCACGCCGUAAACGAUGAGUGCUAAGUGUUAGAGGGUUUCCGCCCUUUAGUGCUGCAGCAAACGCAUUAAGCACUCCGCCUGGGGAGUACGGUCGCGAGACUGAAACUCAAAGGAAUUGACGGGGGCCCGCACAAGCGGUGGAGCAUGUGGUUUAAUUCGAAGCAACGCGAAGAACCUUACCAGGUCUUGACAUCCUCUGACAACCCUAGAGAUAGGGCUUCCCCUUCGGGGGCAGAGUGACAGGUGGUGCAUGGUUGUCGUCAGCUCGUGUCGUGAGAUGUUGGGUUAAGUCCCGCAACGAGCGCAACCCUUGAUCUUGGUUGCCAGCAUUCAGUUGGGCACUCUAAGGUGACUGCCGGUGACAAACCGGAGGAAGGUGGGGAUGACGUCAAAUCAUCAUGCCCCUUAUGACCUGGGCUACACACGUGCUACAAUGGGCAGAACAAAG